UACGUAGGUGGCAAGCGUUAUCCGGAAUUAUUGGGCGUAAAGCGCGCGCAGGUGGUUUCUUAGGUCUGAUGUGAAAGCCCACGGCUCAACCGUGGAGGGUCAUUGGAAACUGGGAGACUUGAGUGCAGAAGAGGAAAGUGGAAUUCCAUGUGUAGCGGUGAAAUGCGUAGAGAUAUGGAGGAACACCAGUGGCGAAGGCGACUUUCUGGUCUGUAACUGACACUGAGGCGCGAAAGCGUGGGGAGCAAACAGG
rnacentral:rRNA from 1 species